rnacentral:misc_RNA from 1 species
UGGGGAGGACAGGGAACUGGGGAUCCAGACCCGAAGCUGACUUCACGAUCCACGAUGUAGGGUCCUGAGUCACAUUGUCCAAAAAUCUUCGCAGUGUCAUGACCAUAUGAUCCUCGUGGUUGCUGGAGACAACCCUUAAUCCACGGAUGAUCUAGAACUUGUGCAGCUGUGAGUCUUUGAGCAGGAUCCCUGCAUAGCAUUCCA